GAACUGCUGAGAAAGCCACUGCGAAGAAGAACUGCAACAUUUUGGAUAAAUUAAAUGAACUAUGACCUCGCUUGCUUUCCCUUCUUCUUCUUUCUUUGUUUUUGUUUCUGGGAAGAAGAGUCUAGUUGGUUCUCAUCUACUCUGCCUUAUUUGCGACGACUGUUAAGUAAAAACACCUUUACCUGUCACGUUGUGUAUUAUUUUAGGUGAUAUAUGGAUAUGAUGUGUGUAACGCGUCGUGUGGUUAGCAGCAUUAGUCGUGUGACGGUUGUAAUGCGGCUACCAUGGAGUGCAUGUUAGUAUCGAUCGACAACAAUUUUGGUCAUCAUAAAUGCAAAAUUUGAGUUCAUUUACUACUUUUUAAGUGGUCUUGGACUCCUGGGUGUGUGUUGACAUCGUAUUAAGUAGAAAUUUAUGUUUAGUCCCAAAGUUAAUGGGUUUUGGACAAUCUAGUCCUGCUCCCUCAAGUUUAGUACUAAGAGGUCCAAAUUUGCCCAAUCUCGAAUGAGUCGGUCCUUUCAUGAACGACUUAAUCCAAAACAACAUUUUUUAUUGACAAAAAUACCCGUCGGGUAUAAUUUUUUACUAUCGUAGGUUUUAUUUCUUCAUUUUCAUGUCGAGCGAGCUUUCCAGAGCAUAGAAGAAAUCCUGAAAAGUAAAAUCUAAUCUCUCUGACUUCUGAAACUUUAAUCUGAGAAUCAAACAAAUGGUUAUUGUUAGUACAUAUGUACGAAGAUUAACUCGCAAUCGAGGAGAAAAGUUGACAAGAUUCCAUUUUCAUUCUUCAUCUUCUCUGGAAUUUUAUGUGGCGAUGAAGAAGAUUUCUUCGAUUCUCUUCUUAUUCAUCUCGAUCUCUCUACUUUUCAGGAUAUGGAACAAGUAUCGAGAAGGAGAAGACGCUGGCGAUGAUGAAACCAUAUGGUGUUUCUGGCAGCUAGACACAAUCCAUAAAGAAGAUGAUUCUGGAUUUCAAUUUCAGUAUUCUCCUUGAGACGACUAUUCAAUUAGAUGAAGACAGUGCAACUCACUUUUAUGCUGAACAUUCUGAACGAAGCUUCUUUAACAACCUUCUCAAAUACAUGACAAGAUGUGUUGCUUCCAAAGGUGAAGAGGCUGGUGAAUGUGACAAGUUCUCCAAAUAUUAUCGUUCCCUCUACCCUGGUGAAUGGGUAAGUAAUAUUCUUUUACGAUCUUCAUUGUUUGUUCAUUAAGUUAACAUUUUAAACCAGACACUAGACAUUGUAAGUAUUAACAAUUGGUAACUUUGCCAUCAGGUCACAUUUUCCGUCAUUUUUCUAUUGUACAUAUUAAUAUGUUCAGUAAAAUUUAACAAACACUUUCUUAAUCUUUUAUGUAUGAAGAUGAGCAGUGUCUCUCUCCUUUUAGCUGAGCUAGA